rnacentral:rRNA from 1 species
GAUGAACGCUGGCGGCGUGCCUAACACAUUCAAGUCGAACGGGCAGUAGCGAUACUGUCAGUGGCGGACGGGUGAGUAAUACAUGAGCAACCUGCCUUAAAGAGGGGGAUAACACUGGGAAACCGGUGCUAAUACCGCAUGACGCAUAGAGGAGGCAUCUCCUUUAUGCCAAAGGAGCAAUCCGCUUUAAGAUGGGCUCAUGUCUGAUUAGAUAGUUGGUAGGGUAACGGCCUACCAAGUCUACGAUCAGUAGCCGGACUGAGAGGUCGGACGGCCACAUUGGAACUGAGAAACGGUCCAAACUCCUACGGGAGACAGCAGUGAGGAAUAUUGGUCAAUGGGCGAGAGCCUGAACCAGCCAAGUCGCGUGAAGGAAGAAGGUCUUAUGGAUUGUAAACUUCUUUAGCAGGGGAAUAAAGGUUAUUACGAGCUAAUAAUUUGCAGGUACUCUGCGAAAAAGGAUCGGCUAACUCCGUGCCAGCAGCCGCGGUAAACAUA